rnacentral:rRNA from 1 species
AGCGAACGCUGGCGGCAUGCCUAACACAUGCAAGUCGAGCGAGCCUCUCCGGCUUACAGCCGCGGACGUGUGCGGAACGCGUAGGCACGCCUCCGGAGGUGGGGGACCACCCUGGGACUCCGGGGCUCAUCCCGCAUAUCGCCCGCGGGCCAAAGCAGACGGGGGCCUCCGGGGCGGCCUGCGUCCGGUUAGGUAGUUGGCGGGGUAACGGCCCACCAAGGCCGCGAUCGGUAGCCGGUCUGAGAGGACGAUCGGCCACACUGGGACUGAGACACGGCCCAGACUCCUACGGGAGGCAGCAGUGGGGAAUAUUGCGCAAUGGGCGCAAGCCUGACGCAGCCAUGCCGCGUGAAUGAAGAAGGUCUUCGGAUUGUAAAGCCCUUUCGGCGGGGACGAUGGUGACGGUACCCGCAGAAGAAGCCCCGGCCAACUUCGUG